GAUAAACAGCAAAUUCUCUUAUCUAUCACUUGUCAAAUAGAUAUUUUGCAAAGUGUAUUAUUUCAUUUCCUUUCAUAUUUCAUGUGCUAAGGCCCUGCACUUCCUAUAAGAAUGACAUAGUGUCUAGACGCUUAUGUACCACUGGACAUCAAAUUAGAUACCAUCGUGAUAGAAAUAUUUUUGUCAUUGUCUUUCUGAAUAAGGCAGCCUUAAAUCUCUUUAACGGGGUGUAUAAAGCUCAGCUUGAUAUUAUAUUUUCUUGCUUUGGAGCCUGCUCCCUCCUAAUUGGAUCAUUAGUUCCUUGAGGAUGGAAGACUUAGUUUAUUCAUCUUUGUAUUCAAGAGCCUCAUCUUAUUCAUCUUUGUAUUCUGAAGACCCACGGUAGUACCAUACUUACAGUAGAUAUUCAACAAAUAUUGAAAAGUGGAUUUAUUCAGGAUCAACAUAGAAUGGUAACUCUGGGUCUGCGACCAUGGCAAGCCUCUAGCAAUUCCUGCUUUAGAAAAGUUCAGAGAUCCUAAGGGCAUUUCUCAAAUGAUUCUGAAUUGGUCCUGCUACCUAUCCACUCCUCACCCCAAUUCCUCCUGUCUACUACAUUGUUCCAGAGAUGAGCUCUUUACUGUCCUCCAGAAGCCGACAGUCUUACAAAGGCCCCACCCACAGCAUAGGGAGGCGCAUAUGGAGCUAUAGCCGAUGGCCUACCCCACAGCCACAGCAACACAGGAUCCAAGCUGCAUCUGUGAACUACACCACAGCUCACAGCAAUGCUGGGUCCUUAACCCACUGAGCAAGGCCAGGGAUCGAACCUGCAACGUCAUGGAUACUGGUCGGGUUUGUUAGCCACUGAGCGAUGAUGGGAACUCCCGCUUGUAUCACUUUCUUAAACUGGAUAUUUGUGUCUAUUUAAAAGUCCUUUGCCUUAAAAAAUUCCUUUGAAUUUCCAUUUAAAAUGAAAUGUAAACAAUAUUGUCUUCAUGCAUGUGUAACCUUCCUUCCUUGAGUGAACUUUCAUGAAAUGCUUUAUAAGUGACAGACAUCUUCUAGAAAUGGGUCAUUCAAAAUUGAAUUUCUUUCUUUCUUUUUUGUCUUUUAGGUCCACACCAGCAGCAUUUAGAGUUUCCUAGGCUAAAGGUCGAAUUGGAGCUGUAGCUGCUGGCCUAAACCACAGCCACAGAAAUGCAGAAUCCAAGCUGUGUCUGACCUACACCACAGCUCACAGCAAUGCUGGAUCCUUAAACCACUGAGCAAGGCCAGGGAUUGAACAUGUGUCCUCACGGAUACUAGUCAGAUUCGUUUCUGCUGUGCCAUGAGGGGAACUCCCAAAAUUAGAUUUUAUAGCAGUUCUGAAGUCAUUUUGACCCACCAGAUUGGUCAUCAUCUCCAAGAUUUAUUGAGUACAGGAGAACAAAUAUCUUCCAUUGGAUAGGAAUUUACAACUUGAAGAUCUCAGGAUCCUUGGUAGUUUCCUAAUCGCCUACGUGGUACGUUAAAAGUAACUUAACUUCAGAGUUCCCAUCGUGGUGCAGUAGAAAUGAAUCCAACUAGGAACCAUGGGGUGGAGAGUUCGAUCCCUGGCCUCGCUCAGUGGGUUAAGGAUCUGGCGUUGUGCUGGGCUCUGGUGUAGGUUGCAGAUGCAGCUCGGAUCUGGC
rnacentral:lncRNA from 1 species